rnacentral:rRNA from 1 species
CCCUUAGAUGUUCUGGGCCGCACGCGCGCUACACUGAUGCAUUCAACGAGUCUAAAACCUGGUCUGAUAGGGCUGGGUAAUCCUUUGAAUGUGCAUCGUGAUUGGGAUAGAUGAUUGCAAUUCUUCAUCUUCAACGAGGAAUGCCUAGUAAACGCAAGUCAUCAGCUUGCAUUGAUUACGUCCCUGCCCUUUGUACACACCGCCCGUCGCUCCUACCGAUUGAAUGUUCCGAUGAAUACCAUGGACUGAGAGUAUGAAUGGGUUCGCCUAUUUCUGCUUCUCGGGAAGUGGAGUAAAUCUUAACAUUUAGAGGAAGGAGAAGUCGUAACA